CUUGGUUUCAGUUUACAGGAAAAAGUUGUAAAUAUCCAUAAAAUAGUAACAUCAUAAAAUCAAUAAAAGCUGGACACACCCCAGAACAAAUACCACCUUCAUCCUGAUCCAGGGAUUGGCUGUUCGCCCUGAGUUUUCACUAAUCCACACCUGUGUACAACCAUGAGAACAUGACAUAAUUACAGCUCAUAGAACCUUAUAUAAGAGCAGAGGAGGGACACAGCCACAUUGUGUGCACCUGUUGGCUUGGUCGCAGUUUGAAGCAAAUUUCAAUCUCUUUGGUAUCAUUUCUGAUUACAGUUUUCUCUCCAUCAUGAAGUGGAUGAUCAUAAGAUUCUGCAUGUUGGCACUGCUGGUCUUCCAGGCUCAGACUAACGUGACAACGACUGUGACAACUGACUUGGCAACAACUGAUAAUACUUCAGUUGCAAGUACAAAUACAACAACUGUAAAGACUUCAACUACAACUACAGCUCAAGUCACUGUUCCAACAGUUGAAAUUACUUUACCCAUAACAACGAGCACAAAUACUUCAAAUACAACUCAAGCCACUGGGACGACUUUGCAGGAACGUGUGACAACUCCAUCAGAUCAGCCAACCACAACGCCUCCAUCUUCAGAGCCCAGCAUGAAUCAAACAACAAAAUUUUCAAGCAGCAUGACCGAUAUGACCACAAUGAUGAAUUCCUCAAUGCCAGUGAAUGCCACCAUGACAACAGUUGGACAGACUACAAUUUGGACAACUACGUCGUCCAGCAACUCACUGACAGUUACCGUCAUCAGCUAUAUUCUAUCCGUCCUGCUGUACAUGAUGUUGAAUUGAGCAUUAUUUGAUUCAGCCCUAGAUUAAAGCUAAGCUGGACUGUUUUGCAAAGUACUGUAUAAUAGAAUAUAAGUAGUAUAUAAAAGUAAAGUAUAGACUAUAUAAAUAACUGAUGAGUAUAUAAAUGACUAUUACAUUUACAGUAGCAUAAGCCAAAACUGACCAACAGAUAAUAGUUUUAUUGAUUGAAUGUUUGUUAUGAUUGCACCAACCUGCUUGAUGCAUCACAAAUGAGGACUGAAAAGCACAUAUGAUUUCAAAUGAAAAAUGCAUAGUUUAAAAUAAUGUCUGAAAUAAAGGGGGAAAAAAUGUUGAUUGCAUGUGUCUCUUUCAUAGCAAAGACUAGUGUAGAUUUUCAUUUUAAUGUGACAGAAAUGUAUUUACUUUAGUAAGUGAGCCUUUUCUGGACUAAAAUAGUUUAAGCAAAAUCAAUAAUUUAUUUUUACUCAGUUUAUGAUCUCAUGACAUACUGGGAAAACAAAGCAACAACCUACAAGAUAAGAAUGACAAAUGACACAGUUGACUUCAUGUUUCUGGGUCAAUAAAUUUAGUAGUCGGAUACUAAAGAGGAUUUUUUCCUAAAGUUUUCUAUUUUAAUAUACAUUAAAAUGUCAUUUAUUUCUGUGAUGCAAAGCUGAAUUUUCAUCAGCAUCAUUACUCCAGUCUUCAGCGUCAUAUGAUCCUUCAGAAAUAAUUCUAAUAUGUUGAUUUAUCAUCAAUAUUGGAAACAGUUGUGCUGCUUAAUAUAUUUUUUGGAACCUGUGAUACAUUUUUCUGGAUUAAUUGAUGAAUAAAAGUUCAAAGAACAGCAUUUAUUUAAAAUAGAAAUCUUUUCUAACAAUAAAAGUCUUAAUUAUCACUUUUGACUGACACCUAACUUUUUAUUCAUCACAAAAAAAAUAAAAAAUAAUAAGCAGCAAAACUGUUUCCAAUAUUGAUAUUAAAUAAGCAUAUCAGAAUGAUUUCUGAAGCAUCAUGUG
ensembl:lncRNA